GGAAUUUUCCGCAAUGGGCGAAAGCCUGACGGAGCAACGCCGCGUGAGGGAUGAAGGCCUCUGGGCUGUAAACCUCUUUUAUCAAGGAAGAAGAUCUGACGGUACUUGAUGAAUAAGCCACGGCUAAUUCCGUGCCAGCAGCCGCGGUAAUACGGGAGUGGCAAGCGUUAUCCGGAAUUAUUGGGCGUAAAGCGUCCGCAGGCGGCCUUUUAAGUCUGUUGUUAAAGCGUGGAGCUUAACUCCAUUUAAGCAAUGGAAACUGGAAGGCUAGAGUGUGGUAGGGGCAGAGGGAAUUCCCGGUGUAGCGGUGAAAUGCGUAGAUAUCGGGAAGAACACCAGUGGCGAAGGCGCUCUGCUGGGCCAUCACUGACGCUCAUGGACGAAAGCCAGGGGAGCGAAAGGGAUUAGAUACCCCUGUAGUC
rnacentral:rRNA from 1 species